UACAGAGGGUGCGAGCGUUGUCCGGAAUCACUGGGCGUAAAGGGCGCGUAGGUGGCGACCCAAGUCGAUGGUGAAAGCUCGCCGCUCAACGGCGAGUCGGCCACCGAUACUGGGUUGCUUGAGCACUGUAGAGGCUAAUGGAAUUCCGGGUGUAGCGGUGGAAUGCGUAGAGAUCCGGAAGAACACCGGUGGCGAAGGCGGUCUGCUGGGCAGUGGCUGACACUGAGGCGCGACAGCGUGGGGAGCAAACAGG
rnacentral:rRNA from 1 species